GUGCCAGCCGCCGCGGUAAUACGGAGGGUGCGAGCGUUAAUCGGAUUUAUUGGGCGUAAAGAGCUCGUAGGCGGUUCAACAAGUCGGUCGUAAAAGUUUAGGGCUCAACCCUAAAAUGUCGAUCGAUACUGUUGUGACUAGGAUACGGUAGAGGUGAAUGGAAUUCCGAGUGUAGCGGCGAAAUGCGUAGAUAUUCGGAGGAACACCAAUUGCGAAGGCAGUUCACUGGACCGUGAUCGACGCUGAGGAGCGAAAGCUAGGGGAGCAAACAGGAUUAGAUA
rnacentral:rRNA from 1 species